rnacentral:rRNA from 1 species
GACAGAGGGUGCAAACGUUGUUCGGAAUUACUGGGCGUAAAGCGCGUGUAGGCGGCAGGGCAUGUCGGAUGUGAAAUCCCGUGGCUCAACCACGGAAGUGCACCCGAAACUGCCCAGCUUGAGUCUCGGAGAGGAAGGCGGAAUGCUUGGUGUAGAGGUGAAAUUCGUAGAUAUCAAGCGGAACACCGGUGGCGAAGGCGGCCUUCUGGACGAUGACUGACGCUGAGACGCGAAAGCGUGGGGAGCGAACAGG